UACGAAGGGGGCUAGCGUUGCUCGGAAUCACUGGGCGUAAAGGGUGCGUAGGCGGGUCUUUAAGUCAGGGGUGAAAUCCUGGAGCUCAACUCCAGAACUGCCUUUGAUACUGAGGAUCUUGAGUUCGGAAGAGGUGAGUGGAACUGCGAGUGUAGAGGUGAAAUUCGUAGAUAUUCGCAAGAACACCAGUGGCGAAGGCGGCUCACUGGUCCGAUACUGACGCUGAGGCACGAAAGCGUGGGGAGCAAACAGG
rnacentral:rRNA from 1 species